CUCGAUGCUGCAAAACACCAGGGUCCUGCAUUCAGGGCACCUUAGCUCCUUGUGGGCCUUGAAAAUCUUCUGAAGACAUGGUUUGCAGAAAGUGUGCUGGCAAGGGAGGACUCUGGCUGUGACAUCAAGCUUUUCGAAGCAUACAGGGCACUCCAGAAGAUCAACCUCAGAGACAAUCUUCCUCCUACGAGGUAAAGUCGUGCAGCCUGUUUAGUUGCUUUGACAGUUGCUCUCAGUUUCAACUGAAGCUGAUAGGAAUUCUGGGUUGUGGUCACAAUCUGUAAAAACCAAGCUGAAGCAACACGUAAGAAAAGUCUUCUGGGAAGAAGUCAGCUGGCCCUCACGAAAGCCAAGGCUUGGGUGACCGAUGCAGCCAGGCACUCCUGCAGGCAGGAGAGCCAGUCUCUACUUACUCCACAGUAAGCAGAGAAGACACGACACACGAGGAGGAGAUGGCGCCUCGCCUUCCUAAGAGUCCUCUCCAGAGACGUCAGCGCCAGCAAGCUGGGGAGAUGAGUGUUCUAUGCCCAGAGAGAUCAAGAGAUUCUUUGAAGUUGCCUGGUAAUUUCCACGAUUCUGUGACCAUAAGGAAGUCACUGGUGGUCUGAGACUCUUUACUGUCUCCUUACUCUGCUUUUCUCUUAAAGGUUCCCCAGGUUUUGGAAAUGCUGGUGUAUCAUAAAGGAACUCUGAUGACUGUAAAGAAACAAGAGGACAGAAGCCUACCCAUUUUCCGUAUUCACAGUGGCUUACCAUCUUUGUAUCUAGUGAGAGUCUUACUUUCAUUUCUUCUUCUUGAUUUUCAAUAAAAGAGAGUAGCCUAUGGAGUAUCUUUACUUUCUUUCCUCCACAGAAGAUUAGAAGGCAGUUUUAAAGGCAGCUUUGUGAGCGAAGAAAGUAGGAAAGUGGUUAAGGAUGCAUUUUACCACUCUGUUAACACUGGAAAAUAAUUCAUCUAGUAAAAAUCUGAGUAAAAUCUGUAGUGUAGUUGAUUGUAUUAUGUUCAUGUCAGUUUCCUCUUUUAUUUGUUUAUUUUUAUUAACAUAUUUUAGUUAUUUGAGAUGUUAUUAUUGGGAAAAGGUGGUUGAAGAGGA